rnacentral:lncRNA from 1 species
AACAGCAGAGAAGGAACAUAUCUCGCUAGUACAACUUCAGGUUACCUAUAGAAAUGAGAAUUCUGAAUGGAGGCUAGCUCCAUGAAGCUCGUAUUUUUGUAAAAAUCAGAAAUUACAGUUUUGAGUUUAAAAAAAUUCUAAAAAUAUCACACGUUCAUACAGAUAUAUACUCCAUGUGUGCAACUUUUAAAGACGAAAAUGGCGAGAGCUACACUAGGAAGACAAAAUCGUGAUUCUGAAAAUGGCAAACAUAUUUUGUGUAGCUAGACCUGUAUAUUGUUCUUCGGGUAAUUUUGGAAAAUCAAAAUGUGUUAUUUGAAUUUUUCAAAAAAAAAACAUGGGGCUCAGGACAUAGCUAAUUUAGUAGACUUCUCAAAAAAUACUCCACUAUCUAAUCCAAAUAUCCAUUCCAAUCCACACGACGAUUGGUACAGAUUUCUUUUCAGUACCAUACUACUGCAAAAUUAUGAGAAGGUUUCUAAACAAACAUCCAACUAGCCAGCAGGGUAACAAGCAAUAAUAUAUAUCCAGAUCAUGGAAACAAUACUCUUAAUAGCAACUGUUAAGAGAAAGCAGCAGCAGAGAAGGAACAAAUCUCGCUAGUACAACUUCAGGUUAUAUAGGACUUUGUAAACAUAGCAGGCAACUUUCCUCCCCAAACGACCAGAGCCUUACAGUCCAUUCCAUCCUUGCCUAUCAAAACUGCAAUCUAAGAUCUGGGCUUCUCUUUCUUCUCCUUGAAGAGAGCGAGCAGCGACACACCAGAUACCUUGACAACCUUGAACCUGACACCAGGAAUAUCUCCCACAGCAUGACCCUUACGACCGAAUCCAGCAAUCAGCACCUCGUCCUGAAGCAUCCAUCAAAGCCAAGAGGUUAGGUUGGUUGCAUAUAGCAGACAUGUCGCAUAUAUCUGAGCAAUGGGUGAGGGGCACAUACGUUUUCCUCGAUGAAGUUCAGGCAACCAUCAUUGGGCACAAAGGCAGCGAUCUUCUUCCCGUUCUUCACCAGCUGGACACGAGCACACUUACGGAUGGCAGAGUUAGGCUGCUUGGCCUCAAUACC